AAUGGUACAAUCACUGUGGAAAUCAUUGUGGAGAUUCUUCAAACAGCUAGGAUAACGAAAAUAUCCUUUUAAAACUCAGGAAAAUGGAAUGUUUGUCUUGUUACCUGUCUGGUGAAACAACU
rnacentral:snoRNA from 1 species